AUUGAACGCUGGCGGAAUGCUUUACACAUGCAAGUCGAACGGCAGCACGGACUUCGGUCUGGUGGCGAGUGGCGAACGGGUGAGUAGUGUAUCGGAACGUAUCCAAUAAUGGGGGAUAACUAGUCGAAAGAUUAGCUAAUACCGCAUACGCCCUACGGGGGAAAGCUAGGGACCUUCGGGCCUGGCGUUAAUGGAGCGGCCGAUAUCUGAUUAGCUAGUUGGUGAGGUAAAAGCUCACCAAGGCGACGAUCAGUAGCUGGUCUGAGAGGACGACCAGCCACACUGGAACUGAGACACGGUCCAGACUCCUACGGGAGGCAGCAGUGGGGAAUUUUGGACAAUGGGCGAAAGCCUGAUCCAGCCAUUCCGCGUGAGUGAAGAAGGCCUUCGGGUUGUAAAGCUCUUUCGCAAGAGAAGAAAACUUACCCUCUAACAUAGGGUGAGGCUGACGGUAUCUUGAUAAGAAGCACCGGCUAACUACGUGCCAGCCGCCGCCGUAA
rnacentral:rRNA from 1 species